AGAUGCACAAUGAGGGACGUCUGCAGAGACUGAGAAAGAGUCUCACCACAUCCUGACAUGAGGAAAAAGACUUUAUUGAAGACUACAAUGAGAAAAACUAUCAGACAGCAGACGGCUGCAUUCAAGUCUGUAGCUGCUGAAUUCAUGGAUGAAUCAUCUGGCACUAGAGAAGAAGACCAUCAAACAUCCACGUCAGCUGAUGGAGGUCCAAGAGUCUCACCAAACAACCUACAGAGUGAAGACCUCAAAUCUGAUUGGACGGCCUCCUAUUCAGCCACAUUUUAGGCUGUUAGAUUGUUCCAGAUAAGACAAGUACAAGAUACUUCAGAGCCGUUCUACCACGAGCCUGACAGGAAGAACUCCAACAGCUACUGAAUGUUCCUGUGGUCCCCUCAAGGCUACAGGAGGAGCCCUAUGAGGACGAGCCGGUCCACCUGAUGGUGGCCAGUUGCUGCGGUUCAAAGCCAACACCGACUACAUGGACUUCUACUGGACCACACGGAGGCCUUCAAACCGG
ensembl:lncRNA